GUGGGGAAUUUUGGACAAUGGGCGCAAGCCUGAUCCAGCCAUGUCGCGUGUGUGAAGAAGGUCUUCGGAUUGUAAAGCACUUUAAGUUGGGAGGAAGGGCAGUAAGUUAAUACCUUGCUGUUUUGACGUUACCAACAGAAUAAGCACCGGCUAACUUCGUGCCAGCAGCCGCGGUAAUACGAAGGGUGCAAGCGUUAAUCGGAAUUACUGGGCGUAAAGCGCGCGUAGGUGGUUUUGUAAGUUGGAGGUGAAAUCCUCGGGCUCAACCUGGGAACUGCCUCCAAAACUGCAUGACUAGAGUACGGUAGAGGGUAGUGGAAUUUCCUGUGUAGCGGUGAAAUGCGUAGAUAUAGGAAGGAACACCAGUGGCGAAGGCGACUACCUGGACUGAUACUGACACUGAGGUGCGAAAGCGUGGGGAGCAAACAGGAUUAGAAACCCCUGUAGUCC
rnacentral:rRNA from 1 species